GUCAGCGCCAGGCUUUGGGGGCAAGACAGAUUAAGCAUUUUUUAUAUUGAUGGUAAGAGACACAGGGGUAAAAAAAAUUAGUAACACAUUGCUCUGAAAAAAAAUGCUGAAAAAUACUAAACACAUACAUAGCUCCCCCUCAGAAAUAAGAGUACUAAAAAUGUUAAAAACAAAACAUGGGAGAUGAAAGAGACAUGUAUUAGUGGAAGGAAUAGCUUGACGAUCUUUUUAUAUUUUCUAACAAGCAGAUCGGUAAGAAAGGUGUGCCAUCAGGAAUACUAAAGACUUUUAAAUACAUAACUGAAGAAUUAUUUGCAUAUGGAGUAGAACAUCAAAUUUUGUGCUGCUUAACUACUUCCACAAAAACAUGCAAAAAAACUUAAUCUGAGAAAAUUGAGGCAUCGAUCCUACGAGAAAAGGUUAACUGGUUUCGAGCUCAUCUGAAAUCUAGUCCAGUGUUCACUAUAGUCAAACCAGAGUGGUGAGUCCAUUGUGGUGUUGGCUCCCGCUGGUCCUUUCCUCCCCUCUGCUCUGCCACACAGUCCCAACACCUACUUUUUCCUCUUAUAUGUUACCUAUUGCUAACAUAUGAGAGGAAGAGAAAGGUGUUGGGACUGUGUGGAAGAGCGGCUGGGAGGAAAGGACCAGCGGGAGCCAGCGCCACAAUGGACUCGCCAAUUUGAUUUCACUAUAGUUCACAGAGAAAGCUGCAUUUCUCAACACCCACUGUCAUAACCAGGUUUGCCUAUAGCCUUCCUAGCCUUAUUUAGAGGGAGCCAUACCUCACCUCCUUUAGUCACUUCUUACAAGGGUGGAGUUAGCAGAUGUACAUGUCUCCAGAUAAGAAUGAAUCCACUUCAGACAAACACUAAUGAGGGAAGAAAGUGCUGAGGUGAAGAUAAUAAAUUAAGAGUGAGAGAGAGAGAUGACUGGAGUGGGAGAAUACUAUAGUCUUCCAAAUAUGUCGAGGCCAGUCUGGCAUAGGCUUCUGUGGGUCCUUUCCUCCCCUAUGCUCUGCCACAGUCCCAACACCUAUCUCUUCCUCUCAUAUGUAAGCUAUAGGUAACAUAUGAAAGGAAAAAAUAGGUGUUGGGACUGUGUGGCAGAACAGAGGGGAGAAAUGGGCCCACGGGAGCCAACCCCAAAACGGAGUCGACAAUUUGGUUUCACUACAAGAGAUGGAGAAUACAGAAAACAGAACUAUAAUGACAAGAGCAAGAGAGAGGUCAUAAAAUCACUUGUAGCCUGAUAGAGACUGAGUCCGAGAAAGGAAAAAAUGAGGAGAGUAAGAGACCAAUGGAGAACUAAGAGAAAAUGAUAUUCAGGUAAGUAGACAAAAAUGGAAAGGUAAGAAAAAGGAAUGCUUAAGAUGAGUAAAGAAACAAACAUGGAUUUAGUAUGAGGAUGGAGAAGCUCAGAUAAGUAGAUGACGAUGUAGGAUAACGUGAAAAUACCGAAACUCCAGAUAUGUAGACAGGAAAUGGAGAGGCAUGUAAAAAAAUAUAUAGAGACUGAGUAAUACUAUGUGAAAAUGAAGUUAAGAGAAGAUGGCGCCACUAUAAACACUUGCCUGCGCCAAUACGGGCUGGGGUCGACUACUAUCCAAGCCCCUCAAGCAAGCCUACAGGCGCUAUAGAAAAAAAAAAAAAAAAGUGUGGAUAAUGAUGGAAAUUUCAAAUACACAGAGACAAGAGAUGGAGAACUAUGAGAAGAUGAAGAACCCCUGACAGGUAAAUUGUUUGAGAACAGGAAAAACAGGUAAGUAAAGAAACUGAAGGAGCAGUAAUAUAAGAAAAAACAAAAAGGUCGAAAAUUAUCAGAUGACAAAAGAUGAAGUGGUACAAGAAAGAAAGGAUGAGAUAAAUAAGAAGACAAGAGAUGGAGGGAUAUGAGGAAGAGAGGUUGAGGUAAGCAAAGAAAGAGAUAUGGAAAGGAUGAUUGAGAGAAGAAGACGAGAAAUCGAGAAUAGAAGGUUGAGAUGACACGAGACAGAGAAUGGAAAGUUUAACCCGGUAGCAGCAGGGAUCAUGUUUCUUUAUGGUACCUCCAAGCAAGAAAAAUUUUUAAAAAAUCAACCCUCACACAAACCAUUUCAUAAUAUAUAUCAAAGCAUUUGUGAUCAGAUUAUGUAUCAUCUAUUUUGGGGGUUUAUAUCAUGGCACAAAUUUGGCCCGUCGCUGCUACACGGUAAAGCCACAAAUUUGGCCCAUCGCUGCUACUGGGUUAAGUUAGUUAGAAUACAUGUAGAGCAGUGAUAUGAAAUAGACCGUUUAAUAGGUAAAAGGAAAAGAGAUGGAGUGGUAGGAGAAAGGGUUGAGAUACGUGGAGAAAAGAAUGGAGAAAGGGAGGUUGAGAUAGUUAAGAAGACAACAGAUGAAAUAAUAUGAAAUAGGAAGGUUGAUAAUUAACAAGCGAUGCAGUAAUAUGAAAAAGGAAAGUUGAGAUAAAGGGCCGUAUUACAAGUCCAAUCUGACAAGUUUCAGGUCCCUACAAAGGUCGGUUUAGGGGCCGUAUUAAAGUCCAAUCCGACAAGUUUCAGCUCCCUACAAAGGUCAGUUCAAGGGCCAUAUUACAAGUCCAAUCUGACAAGUUUCAGGUCCCUACAAAGGUCGGUUUAGGGGCCGUAUUACAAGUCCAAUCCGACAAGUUUCAGGUCCCUACAAAGGUCGGUUUAGGGGCCGUAUUACAAGUCCAAUCCGACAAGUUUCAGGUCCCUACAAAGGUCGGUUUAGGGGCCGUAUUACAAGUCCAAUCCGACAAGUUUCAGGUCCCUACAAAGGUCGGUUUAGGGGCCGUAUUACAAGUCCAAUCUGACAAGUUUCAGGUCCCUACAAAGGUCGGUUUAGGGGCCAUAUUACAAGUCCAAUCCGACAAGUUUCAGGUCCCUACAAAGGUCGGUUUAGGGGCCGUAUUACAAGUCCAAUCCGACAAGUUUCAGGUCCCUACAAAGGUCGGUUUAGGGGCUGUAUUACAAGUCCAAUCCGACAAGUUUCAGGUCCCUACAAAGGUCGGUUUAGGGUCCAUAAUACAAGUCCAAUCCGACAAGUUUCAGGUCCCUACAAAGGUCAGUUUAGGGGUGGUAUUACAAGUCCAAUCCGACAAGUUUCAGGUCCCUACAAAGGUCGGUUUAGGGGCCAUAUUACAAGUCCAAUCCGACAAGUUUCAGGUCCCUACAAAGUUAUUCAUCCCGAACUAUGUAGGGACCCGAAACUUCUUGGAUUGGACUUGUAGUAUGGCCCCUAAACCAUCCUAUGUAGGGACACGAAACUUCUUGGAUUGGACUUGUAGAAUGGCCCCUAAACCGACCUUUGUAGAGACCCGAAACUUCUCGGGUUUGACUUGUAACCUAUGUUCAAAUUUAGCAGGAACAUUCAGGAAAGCCAAGAACGUGCAAUGCUUCU